UUUUUUUUUUUUUAAAUAUAAAUCUUUGUGUGUUUGUCUUUGAUAUGGAUUUGUUGAAUUGGAACUGUUUUACUUUAAUAGUGUAUUAGUUUAAUAGUAAUUUUAUUAAUUUAUUAGUAUAAUCAGUCCAUAAUUGCAUCAUUUUUUAUUUUAAAAAUGCUGAGAAAGGAUCCCGUUAUUUCACAAUCAAAAUGCAUCAUGAGCGUGUGGUUAGUUAUAAUCCAAAGAGGGUUUAUACUGGUGGAUUUAUCAGUUAUUUUGACUUUGGUAAUUCUGAGAUUUCUUGAAACAAGGAGCACCGAGAUUGCUCCCGUUGAAGUUUUCGCUCAAGCCUCAUCCUUGUAUUUGGUUAAGCUGUCCUUAUCGAGAGUUGUGUAUUUGAAUGCAUGCUAAAUAGUGAUUUUACUAAAAGUAGUACAUUUCUAUGGGUACCUCUAGUUUUUGAAACGAUUGUUUGAUCUCUGCCUUUUGCUUCUCGAUUCAAGAUCUCGUUCUGUUUCUUGGUCUUUGUCUACUUCUUUCUUAGGAGCGUAGUUCCCUCUCCUUGCCUUGGCGUACAGGUAGUUUCCACUGAUCUUUUGACUUGCGCACCCUAUCCUUGAGGAUAAAGAAGGACAUGAGUUGUGCGUUGUAUGCCCGCCUCCUCAAUGACUCUAUAGACACAACUCCCACUGACGUUAAGGGGCUUCUUUAGAUCCUUCUCCCUCAUUCUUUAGUUACAUACACCGUCAGUUCCUUCCUAUCCACCCGCGCACUUCCUUGUCGUGUAUCGGUGGGGUUUGUUUUUGGAAGAAGCUGGAGUCUAUCAAUUCUGGAGUUGGGUAAUAUGGCCAGGGAAGUGGGCUAUAGUGGAUGUAAUAUCUAUUAUUAUAAGGUUAAUGAUUUUGCUGGGUUGGAGUUGAUUAACACUGAUCAAGAUGUAAUGAGGUUGGACACAUUGGUGGAUGGAAGCAAAGUAGUAAAGGUUUAUGUAGGUUGUUUAGGAAUGAAUAUUAUAGGAACCCAAGUUAGUCAAGUAGGGUCAAGUGCAAAAAGAAGUCAGAGAAAUGGAGUACUUGUAGAUGUACAAGUAUCACAAGAGGAAGAAAGUAAUGACUAUGAUCGUAAUCCCUCAGACUCUUCCUCAUUUAAUAAGUCUGAGAAAUAUGAGGACAGUGACUAUCGAUUUUUUGACAAUGAUGCAUUGUAUGAGGCUAAUGUUGACAAAGAUGUAGAGUUUUUUAGUGUAAGAAGUAGUAAAAAUGUAAUGGCUGAAGGAGUUGAUGAGCUAGAAAGCCUUAGAAGCUUCUUUGAUGAGCUAAGAAGUAUUGACAGCUCAUCUGAUGAAUUCUCAUAGGACUAAAUACCCUAUUUUUAAUACUGAGGCUGAUAUGCACAAUUCUAAAUUCAAAUUUGGGAUGGAGUUUAAGACCCAUGAUCUAUUUAGGGAUGCUAUGAAGGAGUAUGCAAUUAAGUGGUGCAAACAUAUAACAUUUACCAAGAGUGACAAACAAAAGGUUAGGGCAGAGUGCAAAAGUGGUUGUCCUUGUGUUUGUUAUGCUUCAUAUGUAGAAGGUGAUGGGGUGUAUAAGAUCAAAACAUUUGUUAAUGAACACACUUCUAAUAGAUCUUUUGAUGUGGCACAUGUGAGUUCCAAAUGGGUUGUCAAGAGGCACUUUGAAAGAAUAAGGUUAAAUCCUACAUGGCUAAUUCCGUCAUUGGCAGACACAAUUGCAAAUGAGCAUAAUGUCAAGGUUGACUUACAAAAAGUGAGAAGGGCAAGAAAAUAGAUGUUGACAUUGGUAGAGGGUACUGCAGUUGAGCAAUUUGCACUGUUAUGGAGUUACAUUGAGGAGAUUAGGAGUCGUAAUCAUGGGACAACAGUGUGCAUGAAGGUGAAAUAAGUUCCAAAAGUUAACGAUGGGAGUAAUGCAGGGGUUUAUGAUGGGAGUAAUACAAAGUCAAAGUUCAAAAGGUUGUACUUGUGUUGGAGUCCAUUAUAGAAAGCUUUUAUGAAUGAUUGUAGGUCAAUGAUAGGUUAUGAAGCACGGGUGCGGGUACAUAUAUUGGUAUAGGUACGUCGAUACGGCAAGACCUAAAAAAAUAGGAUACAGGUACGUCUGGGGUACGCCAAUAAAUUUUUUUUAUUUUUAUUUUUUAUAAUUUAUAGUUUCAAAUUCAACCUAGAAUCAAAGUUCAAUACCAAAACUAAAAGGAAAAAUUAAAAAAUCAAAAGAGAAAUCAUAGUUUAACAAUACCAAUACCAAAGCAAAGUCCAUAAACUUUCAUUCUAAAAGCAAGCUAAGUAAAAUUUGAAAACUUGAAAUUUCAAUUUUUACUUCCAUCAACUUCAUCAUUGAAUAAUGCAUCUUUCAUUUCUGGUACAUCAAGUAAAAGAUUUGCAAUGUCAAGUAAAUCAGAACUCUUUAAUAAAUUAAAUGUAUCUCCACCAACGUUCCAUAGUUUAGUGUACCCCCCAUCUCGUACCCACGAAGUAUCCACAAAGUACCUAAUUGUCAAAUAAUGUAUAAAAAGUACCCGGAAUGUAUUUCGAAUAGCUAGUACGCAUGCAGUCCUAUCGGUACGAGUACUAGUACCCAGUAAGCACCUGAUACGAGUACGAUAACAUUUUUGGAGUACCCAUGCUUCAUAGGUGAUAGGAGUGGAUGAAUACCAUUUGAAGGGGUCACUUGGUGGUAUUCUCUUGACUGUAGUUGGGAUAGAUGCAAACAAUUGCAUAUUUCUAUUUGUUUAUGCAAUUGUUGAGAAAGAGAAGAAGAAAACAUGGUUGUGAUUUUAGAGUUACUAGGACAUGAUCUAAAUAUUGUAAAUUCUCAUUGUUAUACCUUUAUGAGUGAUAAACGUAAGAGUUUAAUUGAUGCAGUGGCUAAGUUGUUUCCAAAUGCUUCACAUAGGUUUUGUAUGAGGCAUUUGUACAACAAUUUUAAGGGUGAACAUAAGGGAUGGGUUCUGAAAAAUCCAUUGUGGAAGGUUGCUAGGGCAAGUACUGUUCUUGCAUUUACUAGAGUGAUAAAAGAGAUUAAAGAAUUUAAUUGUAAAGCAUACAAUUGGUUGGUACAACGACCACAAAUUCAUUGGAGUAGGAGCCACUUUAACACUUUUCCGAAGUGUGACAUUUUACUGAACAAUUUGUGUGAGUUCUUCAAUUCAAGUAUCUUGCAAGGUAGGAGUAAACCUGUGGUGACAAUUUUGGAGAAGAUUAGGUUGUUGUUAAUGGAAACAGUUCAAAAAAGAAGACAUGCAAUGCAAAGGCAUAAUGGUCCUAUAUGUCCUACGAUUCAGAAGAGGCUGGAGAAAAUGAAAGUGGAUGCAGCUGGACGGAUUCGUGGAUGGAUUCGUAGAUGGAAUUGCAAGAGCAAUUUGAAAUUGUAGGGACAUAUGGAGAGUAAUACAAUGUGGACUUGCAAGCUUGGACUUGUGGCUGCAGGAAGUGAGAUCUGUUAGGCAUUCCAUGUGCCCAUGUUGUGACUGUUGCAAACUAUUUGGGUCAAGAACCAGAAAAAUAUGUUCAUCAGUACUAUAAGGUGGAGACUUAUUUGAAGAUCUAUGACAACAUGUUGAGUCCUAUUAAUGGUAGAGAAAUGUGGCCAACAACUGAGUAUGCUAAGGUGCUGUCACCUGAUGUGAAGAAGAGAGCUGGGAGGCCUAAACUAAAUAAAAAAAGAGACUGAGGCACCAAUUGAAGGAACAAAGCUAGAAAGGCAGGGCACUCAAAUGACUUGUAAGAACUGUGGGAAGGUGGGACACAACAAGAGAACUUGCAAGGUGAAAGGAAUAUUCAACUACUUGUAACAAAAUAGCCAGCCUAAAUGGAGCCAACCUCAAGUGAGCCAAACUCAGGGGAGCCAAGCUCAGGGAAGCCAACUUCAGAGUCAAGUAACUGUAAAAGGAAGUGAGGUUAAAAGGAGAGUGGUAAAAGAAAGUUAGUCAACUCCAUCUUCAAUGAGUUUAACCACCACACCAAAGGAGGGUCAAAUGAUAUGGAGAGGCAAGCUAGUGUACAAUGCUAGUGCCCUUAAAACACAAUCCACUGUACAGCGGAAGGAUGCACCUAAAAAUUAAAGAAGUGUUUUUUUUUUUUUUUGUUUUUGGAUAGUAAUUAGUUUAGAUAGUAAUCGAUUUUUUGGAAAUCCAUAACAAAAUGAAAGUAUAGCUAUUUGGUGUUUCUUGUUUAUGGAUAUGUCUAGCAAUCAACACUGAACAUCACUACAACAUUAAGUCUUUUUGUACAUUUACUUUUUCUUUUUUGUUUGGAAUGGUUGCCCUAAACAUGUUAACUUUGUAAAGGUUGUGUUUAAAUUGUCAUAGACAAUUGUUAUUGGUUGCCCUGAACUUGUUUACUAUGAUGUUCUGUUUUUUGGAUGGGUGCCAUUUGAUAGAUGGAUGUCAUUUCAUGCUUUAUUGGUUUUCAUUUUUGUUUUUGGGUUUUAUGGAUGGAUGUUUUGGUUUCAUUUUUGUUUUUUGGUUUUGCGUAAAUGG